UAACUACAAAAGGUAAUUGUCAUUGCAUAUAAAAUAAUUAUUAAUAAUCAUUACAUUAAUUUAAAUAACCUAUAUUUAACCACGAAAUGUGUCAAUGCACCUUAAUAUCUUAGUUACAAAUGUCCAUUAGAAUUUUAGCACAAAUGGUGCGUAGACUAAACGAAAAAUGAGUUAUAGACUAGGAAAUUGUGAGGCACGAACUCCACCACUGCAGCUCCAAUCACAAACAAAUCAAGGUCCUUGUGAGUCUCCUACCCAUCAGGAAUGCUUAGCUUCCCAUCAAAAAGCAUCUUCCUUGCCAUAAUGUUAUACUAUACAUAAACAAAAUCCACAGACAAGCAGAAAGAGAUCAACAUGUGAUAGCAAGCUCUUUCACAAACAAGAAAAUCGAAAAAAAAUAAAACAAAGACCUGAUCAAAAGUAAAUCGAGACUAACUAAUUGCACAAUUUUAUAAGCAAAAAGUAGUUGAUUUUGGAUAAAAGUAAAUAAGAACAACCAAUAUAAUAGUUUACUCUUUCCUUUUUUCUCCAAGAUUGCUUAAACUCGGGAAAGAGGGAAAAAAUAAGAUUACAACUUCAGACAAUCAAUUCAGUAUUCACAAAUUCUGCUUAUUAAAUGACAAUAAAACUUAUCAUUCAUUAAGUGUGCUGAACUUACACGACAUUCAAGUAUUAAAUGGCAAUAAGAUUUAUCAUUCAUUAAGUGUGCUGAACUUACAUGACAUCCAAGUAUUAACCUCCAUAUUUUUCAAACAGGAACUCAUCAAUUUGCUUUAAGCUGGCCAAUAGUGCAUAUACAGCCACGAUAGUGAAAAGAAGAAUAAUUCACGAUUCACAAUUAACUGGGAACAUUCAAGGUAAAGCAGAAUCUUGAUAAUUGAGCAUUUAAAUGAGCUUCACAAGCAUUUUAUGUUAGCCCAUAGUGUUGUCCUGAUGACUUGGGCUGAUACAAUCUAAAAUUAAGGAGUUAAAAAAUGACCUUGGCUCUUUGGAAAUAGCAUGAGAUAAAAUCAUAAAAACCUGAAGAGACACUAUGAGAUACUUAUAAAAGAUGUGAAAGCUAUUUGGGAAUGGAGAUAUCCCAUUCACAUGUCAAUUGAAGAUAUCUUAAUAAAAAUUUGAAUCAGAGAUUCCCAAAUAAUAUUCCAUCAAAUAAAUUUACAUGUGCAGAACAUAUAUAUUAUCAUAUGACCAGGUUGGAAGUUGUAGCAGUGGAUGUGACGGGCUGGUCGGCCCAUGGCGUUGUUUAGGUGGCACUGGCACAGCGACGAAGAACUGGAACCAGACCUGAGUGCUGCAAGCGAGUUCGCCUAAAAUACCAUCAAUAGGAUGAGAAAGCUUAGAGCGGCUAUUAGGGUAAACUGAGAUGGAAGAAGCGAAAGGGGCGGGAGGGUGG
rnacentral:lncRNA from 1 species